ACCGCGUACUUACCUACUGUAU
rnacentral:miRNA from 1 species